rnacentral:tmRNA from 1 species
GGGGGUGCACUGGUUUCGACUGGUACGGUUCGGGGUACAGGCUGCAGGUGGAGCGCCGAUCUCCUGAUUCGGCAAAACUUUAACUGCCAACAACGACAGUUACGAUUACGCCUUAGCUGCGUAAACGCGUGGAACCCUUCCGCCGCCUUGAGGAAGGGCUUCCGCGUCACAAUCAGGGCUGGCCGGUGAAACUUGUUUCACGUCCCGGUUCCGAACGGGAAACGGCGAGAUUUAGACGGAUACGGACAGGCCGCGUGCCGCGCAGCCAAGCCCGCCCCGACAAUACAAUGCGCGGCUAAAUCUGUAGAAGCCUGUGUUUCGCGUAUCAGGACGGGGGUUCGACUCCCCCCACCUCCAGUA